rnacentral:misc_RNA from 1 species
GCAAACUUGGUCAUUUAGAGGAAGUAAAAGUCGUAACAAGGUUUCCGUAGGUGAACCUGCGGAAGGAUCAUUAUUGAAAGCAUUGUGAAGGAGGUUGAGCUGGCUUUUGCAGGUGCUCACUUCCUUUCAAUCUCUUCAUCCACCUGUGCACACUAUGUAGAGAUAUCGGGAGCCUGGAAAGGAGGGUGUAAAAAGCCCUUCAAGUACGGGUUGCUGUUUCUCUAUGUCUUUUAUACACCCUUAACGUAUGUCAAUGAAGGUUUUUCACUAGGGACUUGAUUGACCCUAUAGAAAAGUUAUACAACUUUCAGCAACGGAUCUCUUGGCUCUCGCAUCGAUGAAGAACGCAGC